CUGCUGUUUAGCUAGAGAUUGUAAUUCUAGACACGAUGUUCGUUAUUCCACUGUGUGGAUUCUAAUUAACUGCCAGAAAUGCAUUGUUGAGGGGAUGAUGGAUUAUGCAAGGGAAACUAUUAAUACAACUCAUCCACGUCUGCCCAUGUGCAGCCCAAGCCCAGAGCAACUCUUGGAGACACCAAACUGUGGUGAGAGAACCAGAUGAUGGCUUCAUGCGUGACAGUGAGGAUGUAGUCAGUGCCAUCACUCCUGUGCCUACAAAGAGCCUAUAAGGAAGGAUCAGAGAAGUCCCACAGCUUGACCCUGUUCAUACAAGUCAGUGGAUGUAGCCACACAGAAGCCAGGCACACAGACCAGAGGAGUGGUGCUCCCUCUCAGCCAG
rnacentral:lncRNA from 1 species